rnacentral:rRNA from 1 species
CCUACGGGCGGCAGCAGUGGGGGAUAUUGCACAAUGGGGGAAACCCUGAUGCAGCGACGCCGCGUGUGGGAAGACGGUCCUCUGGAUUGUAAACCACUGCCCCCAGGGACGAAGAUGACGGUACCUGGGGAGGAAGCUCCGGCUAACCACGUGCCAGCAGCGGCGGUAAUCAGUAGGGAGCGAGCGUUGUCCGGAAUUACUGGGUGAAAAGGGCGCGUAGGCGGGACGGCAAGUUGGGUGUCAAAUCUACCGGCUCAACCGGUAGCCGCACUCAAAACUGCAGUUCUUGAGUGAAGUAGAGGCAGGCGGAAUUCCUAGUGUAGCGGUGAAAUGCGUAGAUAUUAGGAGGAACACCAGUGGCGAAGGCGGCCUGCUGGGCUUUUACUGACGCUGAGGCUCGAAAGUGUGGGGAGCAAACAGGAUUAGAUACCCCUGUAGUC